GAGAGGGGGGGACCUGCCUCUCUCGGGCCUGAUACUGGGGGGAUCUGCCUGGGAAUGGAGGCUGGGAAGCCUGCGUUUUCCUGCCUCGCUGUCUUUAUGUGCGGUCGGGAUCGUAACACAGCCCAGCUGGAGGAGCAGGGGGUCAGAUUAACUGGUCACUGGCAUACAGGCUCCAGCCUCCGCCAGGAACCAGCAGAUAAGCCCCUAUUAACCCUUUUGGCAUCCAGGGCUCCCCCCGGCAUGGCUUUGAGAUGUUCCAGAGGAAGGAGGCAGAAUGGAGACUGUCUUCAGUGCCCAUCAGCCGAUUCAAACAUUCCUGGUGCCAGAGGAACAAGGAUCGGUGCCUGCCUUUUGUCCUUGUCCUCUCUGCAAGCUGCAGACACCAGUAGGAGCAAGCAGGGAAUUACUUAGGUGUGCUGUGGAUUCUCUGCCACUUGAAGACUUUAACCCCAGGAGUUUUUCCCAAGGAUCUGCUAUGGCUCACACAGGGCUCCUAAGCUCGGUGUGGAAAGGAAUAUUCUCAAGGAAGGCUCGCAGUGGAGGUGAAAUGGCAGCUCAACACUGAAGCAACAAGCUGAGGCUGCAGGGAAUGGCUCAGGGGGAAAAUCAAAGGGAAGAUGUCUUUGUUACCAACCCAGCUGCAACUUCCUGCUCUGGCUAGAAAAUACCCUAGGAGGUGACUGUUAGUGGAUCGCAUGCCUUUGCCUUGCCUCGCUUCCCCAUAAUAAGUGAAUAAUGAACUUGUAGGACAAGGGAAAGGUGGAAUUCCCAGAAAUUAUCAUCCUGAGGUGAGCACAAAGAGAGGCUCUGUCUUCACCCAUCGGAUCCCUAUAAACAGAUAGAGAUUGUCACUGAAGGAGAGGGCUUUCCUCCACUAAGCACAAGCUAGAAACAAGUACUUUUGAUGUAGUGGCACUCCUGUCA